UGUCCGGAUUUAUUGGGCGUAAAGCGAGCGCAGGGCGGUUUUUUAAGUCUGAUGUGAAAGCCUUCGGCUUAACCGGAGAAGUGCAUCGGAAACUGGGAGACUUGAGUGCAGAAGAGGACAGUGGAACUCCAUGUGUAGCGGUGGAAUGCGUAGAUAUAUGGAAGAACACCAGUGGCGAAGGCGGGCUGUCUAGUCUGUAACUGACGCUGAGGCUCGAAAGCAUGGGUAGCGAACAGGAUUAGAUACCCUGGUAGUCCAUGCCGUAAACGAUGAGUGCUAAGUGUUGGAGGGUUUCCGCCCUUCAGUGCUGCAGCUAACGCAUUAAGCACUCCGCCUGGGGAGUACGACCGCAAGGUUGAAACUCAAAGGAAUUGACGGGGGCCCGCACAAGCGGUGGAGCAUGUGGUUUAAUUCGAAGCUACGCGAAGAACCUUACCAGGUCUUGACAUCUUCUGCCAAUCUUAGAGAUAAGACGUUCCCUUCGGGGACAGAAUGACAGGUGGUGCAUGGUUGUCGUCAGCUCGUGUCGUGAGAUGUUGGGUUAAGUCCCGCAACGAGCGCAACCCUUAUUAUCAGUUGCCAGCAUUCAGUUGGGCACUCUGGUGAGACUGCCGGUGACAAACCGGAGGAAGGUGGGGAUGACGUCAAAUCAUCAUGCCCCUUAUGACCUGGGCUACACACGUGCUACAAUGGACGGUACAACGAGUUGCGAAGUCGUGAGGCUAAGCUAAUCUCUUAAAGCCGUUCUCAGUUCGGAUUGUAGGCUGCAACUCGGCCUACAUGAAGUGGAAUCGCUAGUAAUCGCGGAUCAGCAUGC
rnacentral:rRNA from 2 species